UACGGAGGGGGCGAGCGUUAUUCGGAAUUAUUGGGCGUAAAGGGCGCGUAGGCGGCCCGGUAAGUCAAAGGUGAAAUCCCUCGGCUCAACUGAGGAACUGCCUUUGAAACUGUCGGGCUUGAGGCCGGGAGGGGGUAGCGGAAUUCCCAGUGUAGCGGUGAAAUGCGUAGAUACUGGGAGGAACACCAGUGGCGAAGGCGGCUACCUGGACCGGUUCUGACGCUGAGGCGCGAAGGCGUGGGUAGCAAACAGG
rnacentral:rRNA from 1 species